GGCAGUGGCUGGCUGUGGGGACAGUAAGGGCCCUCUUGUCCUGGGGUGGGUUGGCAGCAGCCCUGUGACCUGUGGGCAUCUCCCUGCUGGCCUUUGGAGCUCACGCAGCUGUGAGCGGAGUCCCCCGCAUCACUGUCUCUGUCCAGCGUCGCUUCUCCAUGGAGGGCUGAGCUUGCCUUUGCUAGGCCCGCAUGCUGGCGACAGCAGAGCACCCAUCUCUCCUCUUCAUGGGCUCUGCCUGCUGCUCUAUUCUGCCACCUGCAUCCCAGACCCAUCCCUCUGACACCUCAGGUCCUUGGGCACUGGGCAUAUUCCAGGUCCCAAGAGAGCUCGCACCUGGAGUUCACUGCCCUGUCUCUGACUGGGUGUCCACCAUACCUACUGACACCCCAGCAAGCCCAGGACCCCUUUUCUGUUCCUGCAGUUUUUGGAGACAGAAUCUUGCUCUGUUGCCCAAGCUGGCCUCAAGCUCCUGGGCUCAAGCAAUCCUCCUGCCUCAGCCUUCUGAGUAGCUGGGACACAGGAGCACUCCUAAAACGGACUUGAGCAUGUUCUUGCUGUUCCUCUUCUUAGAAUGCUCCCCCAUGGCUGCACCUUCUUGGAUCACUUCCUUCUGGGUGGAACGCCCCUUCCCUGAGCUGCUGUGGAACACAUGUGAAAUUAUGUAUUUCCUUCUGAACUGGACUGUCACCUCUGAAAGAGCAGGGGUUUAUUCCCUAUCUGUCUGCUACUGUGUCCCCCCUGCUUAGGAAAUUGUCCAGUGUCUAGUGGGCGCUGAUGUUUGUUGAAUGAAUAACUGAUGGACCCUGUGUUAACUGUAUGGCUUUGAGACUUGUGCACCCUAUUUUCACAGGGUUUAGAACAAGUAAGUCCUAUUUUCUUUUCAGUUGUCUCCCCAGGGCAUGCGCUAGUUCCAAGCCCAAAAAGGCCCCCUGGAGGAGGAGAUAGGCGUGCAACUGAGCACAGACUCAGGAGCUACAUGGAGAUCAGUCCUCACUCCCACCACGGGCCCAGCUGUGGGUAUGAGCUCAUGAGAUCCUCAGCCCAUACCCAUUUCACGGAGGUGACAAUUGAGGCACAAGAAGGUUAAAUAGUGAAGCCAGUAGGGUGGAACCGAUGCUGGGACACAGUAGCUGCCACCUGAAAUUUAAAGAAGUGGGGAUUUAUUUUGGCUCAGGGUUUUAGUCUGUGAUCGCAGGACCCAGGCAGAAGUUACCUUCCGGAGGCCCCGCCUGUGACCUCGCUGGGCUUCGAGGAAGUCGCCCUGCAAACCAAGACUUAUCCCAGGUUCCCUCCUCUCAGCUCCUCCGCACCGCUGAGCCCAGGUACCUUCCUCUUCGAUCUUUUCGGGUAGGAAGCACUCGGCGUCUGUUGGACGUGGUUGUGUGGACUCUGAGCUAAGAUCAGGAUGAGAUCUAGAAAAACCCGGAGGGCCCCAAAUGUGGUACAAGAGACAAACCUGGGGGCAGAAGAGCCGCCUUCCGAAGCCCAGCCUGUGGCAUUGCUUCUGGCUGACCUUAGGCAGGCACCGUGGCCUCCCUGAUCUGGUGCAGAAAGCCCGGGAGGGGCUCGGUGAGUUGGGGCUUGGAGAACAGAGCCUGAAAGCAAAGUCACCCAGAGGUGGUGAGGGUCACACAUUUGCAGAAGUCACCGGACCGGGCUGGAGAGUGAGAAUGUUCAUCUGUUGUCACAGCUCAACUCCGCCCUUAUCCUGUGGUAGCAGCUAUGGAGGCCGCGGGGCAGGGGGAGUGGCUUCAGACCUUCUGAAGCACAGCGGGGGAUGGCGGUUGGUGGGAACAAAUCAAGUAUUUUAGAACAACUAGGAAAGGGCUCAAAUGUCCCCACACAAGGGAGUGAUCAGUGCCCAAGACAAUGGGAAUAGCAGUGAGUACUGCACCUAUACCUUCCCACCCUUACUAUGUGCCAAUCAAAAAGAAAAAAAACGCUGCAUGCUUUUCAUCCCAACACUCAGGGAGGCUGAGGCAGGAAGAUCGCAAGCCUGGGCAGUUUAACUGCUUAGCAAGUGCUGGGGAUGUAGCUCAAUGCAGAGGCCCUGGGCUCCAUCUCCAGUGCCACACACGAGAAGAUCUCUGUAUUUAUCCCACCUGCAUUUCUCAGAAGUGCCUGGGUCCUGGGGAGAGACGUCGGGGUCAGGGGGCCACACUCUGAAAAGCACAGCUUCAGGUCAGAGGUUCUCAACUGUGGCUUCAUAAUCACCAGGGACGUUAAGAAAGCCCCAGUGCCCGGGGAUGCACCCUGUUCAGCCCCACAGUGGAAGCAGGGUCACCGUGGAGGUGGGUCCAGGCAUGUAUGCUGCAAAAUCCCAGGUCCUCCUAACUGUGUACGGCUCGUCGCGUCUCUCCCUCACUCAGCCGAGGUCCCUAGUUCUGUGCACAACUUGGAAGUUGAACAUCUACUGGGGAAUGAAAAAAAAAGAGAGAGAGAGAGAGAAAACCCCAAACACAGUGUCUAAUCUGUUCCCGAGCCAACGCGGAAUCUUUCUUGUAUGAUUCAUGGUUUGGAUUCUCAUUUUGUUGGCUUCUCUCUGGGACACAUUGGUAGCUGAUUGUUAAAUAUUAAAAUAUUUCCACACCAGUUAGUAAACUGCUGUUGCCAGGGGCCCCCAAGAGAGCACCCCUGUCCCUGGAGUCCCUCCCAGGCCUCCCUGCCUCCUGAUGAUUGUCGCUCCAGGGGCUUCAUCUCCUUCGGUAGUAAUGACACCAUCCCUGUGUCUGAGGGUCCCCAGCCCACUGAUCUACAAGUCCCUCAUGGCGUAGGAUUGGUAUAGAACCUGCACACCCCCUCCUGCAGACUUUGAAUCACCUCUUGACUUAGAACGCCACGUGUACGGUGUGUAAACAGUUACACCAAAUUAGGGAGAAAUGAUAAGAAAUCUGAUCUGAGGAUACAGAAUCUACAGAUAUGGAGGACCGAAUGUACCUGUUUGUCCUCAACAUAUCUUGUUCUUGUUUCUGAGCAGAUGAGUAUUUUGAUUGAUAGCAAGUUCAGUUUGUGCUCUCAGAGCUAUAAAAAAGCACCCCUGUGUUUGCAGAGAGAGGUGGCGUUGAUUCCAACCCUGGUCCUGAAACUGAUCAGCUGGGCAAAUCUUUUAACUUCUCUGUUCCUUAAUUUACUAAUGGGUAAAGUGGAAAUAACACUUUCACCAUAGUUGUGAGGUGAGGUUUAAGUGAAGGAGUGCAUGCACAGGCCUUAGAACAGGGUAUGCAGUUAAUAUCAUAGUAGUGCUAGAUUUGUAUUAGUUAGCUAUAGCUGCACAACAAGCAUGCACAAAUCAUGGCACAUGACCACAGGUUUGGGGUAUUAAACCACACAUGUUUACUAGCUCAAGUUUCAUUAAGUCUCAGGUCUUGGUGUGGGUCCUCUUCUUCAAGGUCCUGCCCAAGGCAAACCAGAAGCUAAAGUGUCAGCCAGGAUUGGGUUGUCAGAAAGCUACACUGGGGAAGAAUGGCUUUGGGGCUUGCACAGUUGUGGCAAUAUUCUGUUCUUUGCAAAAAUGGUGGCACUGGGGGACGCGGAUUUAGCUCAGUGGUUCCACCACCUGCCUCGAAAGCACAAGGUUCCAAGUUCAAUCUCCAGUACCAAAACAAAACCAAACCAAAACAAACCAAAAAAAUUGGUGGGACUGAAGGCCACUGGCAAGUGGAUGUGCUUGAUUCCUGUCCCUUAGGGCAGUUGGCUUUGUCAGAGCAGCCUAAGAAAGAAGCACCAGGCAGAGCUAAGUGAGAGCAGUGUGUAAUCUACUCGCAGACAGGAUGUCCCCAACAGGGGAGGAGCUGUUGGGCAGAGGCAGGCUUCCCUGGAGGAUCACACAGGCUGUGUGCACAGCAGGGAGGACCGUGGACCCUGCUGCCCUCUGUGGGGACUGCAUCUUGGUCAUCACCGCCCCAUUUGGGGACAGCUUUCUGGAGCACUGCAGCAUCUGGAAGGCCCCUGAGUCACCAGUUCAUGCUGGCUGCCCAAAAGUUAGGGGCCUGGCUCACAGAGGAGGUGCCACCCCUCUGAACCAUGAGGCCUCUGCUCAAGAGAAGCUGAGUGCUGCCAUGUGGCAAUGGGGACUCUUUUGGGCUAAGUCUUCUGAUUUUUGGAGAAAAGGCAACAUUUUCAUUUUUAUGCAUAAUCCCCUGGCUUAUUAGUAACAUAUUUGGAUCUUAAGACAUGGAUAGAUCAAAGAAACAAGUCAUGAGCUUUUUAUUUCUAACAUCUGCUGUCAACCCUACUCAUUAGUAUAAAUACGAGUUAUUAAUUUUGCUGUGAAAAUUUUUUUUGAGACAGGGUCUCUCUGUGUACUUCAGGCUGGCCUUGAACUCACUGUGUAACCCAAGGUGGCCUUGAGCUUGUGUGAUCCUCCUGCCUCAUCCUUCCGAGUCCUGGGAUGACUCUCGGCUUUGUUGUGGAUUUUUAAAAGAGGAAAGUUAGGAGAAGGAAGAAGAUGGGGAGGGAGGAGACGCCAGUGAGACCAGGGAUAUCUGAACUAGGACAGCAGCACUGGAAAUAAAUGUGAGAAGAUCCCAGAAAUAUUUCAGAAGAAUCAGUAGCCAAGAGAUCCCUUCUCUACAUUGGUUUUAGGUGUAUGACUUCAAGUAGGAAAACCAAUUAUUCUGAACCUGAGUUAUGAAAGUAGUUUAAAG
rnacentral:lncRNA from 1 species